GAUGAACGCUGGCGGCGUGCUUAACACAUGCAAGUCGAACGAUGAAGCCCAGCUUGCUGGGUGGAUUAGUGGCGAACGGGUGAGUAACACGUGAGUAACCUGCCCUUAACUCUGGGAUAAGCCUGGGAAACUGGGUCUAAUACCGGAUAGGAGCGUCCACCGCAUGGUGGGUGUUGGAAAGAUUUAUCGGUUUUGGAUGGACUCGCGGCCUAUCAGCUUGUUGGUGAGGUAAUGGCUCACCAAGGCGACGACGGGUAGCCGGCCUGAGAGGGUGACCGGCCACACUGGGACUGAGACACGGCCCAGACUCCUACGGGAGGCAGCAGUGGGGAAUAUUGCACAAUGGGCGAAAGCCUGAUGCAGCGACGCCGCGUGAGGGAUGACGGCCUUCGGGUUGUAAACCUCUUUCAGCAGGGAAGAAGCCACAAGUGACGGUACCUGCAGAAGAAGCGCCGGCUAACUACGUG
rnacentral:rRNA from 1 species